UACGUAGGGUGCAAGCGUUAAUCGGAAUUACUGGGCGUAAAGCGUGCGCAGGCGGUUUUGUAAGUCUGUUGUGAAAUCCCCGGGCUCAACCUGGGAAUGGCAUGGAGACUGCGAAGGCUAGAGUUUGGCAGAGGGGGGUAGAAUUCCACGUGUAGCAGUGAAAUGCGUAGAUAUGUGGAGGAACACCGAUGGCGAAGGCAGCCCCCUGGGUCAAGAUUGACGCUCAUGCACGAAAGCGUGGGGAGCAAACAGG
rnacentral:rRNA from 1 species